rnacentral:rRNA from 1 species
UACAGAGGUCCCAAGCGUUGUUCGGAUUCACUGGGCGUAAAGGGUGCGCAGGUGGGUUUGCAAGUUCGAUGUGAAAGCCCCGGGCUCAACCUGGGAAUGGCGAUGGAUACUGGCUCGCUAGAGUGCGGUAGAGGAGAGUGGAAUUCCCGGUGUAGCAGUGAAAUGCGUAGAGAUCGGGAGGAACAUCAGUUGCGAAGGCGGCUCUCUGGACCAGCACUGACACUGAGGCACGAAAGCGUGGGGAGCAAACAGG